rnacentral:rRNA from 1 species
UACGGAGGGUGCAAGCGUUAAUCGGAAUUACUGGGCGUAAAGCGUGCGCAGGCGGUUUGUUAAGUCUGCUGUGAAAUCCCCGAGCUCAACUUGGGAAUUGCAGUGGAUACUGGCAAGCUGGAGUACGGUAGAGGAAGGUGGAAUUCCCGGUGUAGCAGUGAAAUGCGUAGAGAUCGGGAGGAACACCGGUGGCGAAGGCGGGUCUCUGGGCCAUUACUGACGCUGAGGAGCGAAAGCGUGGGGAGCGAACAGG